GAAUGUGAUGAGGAAGAAUUGUCGCCCCAGUCCUAUGCGAGCUUUAAAGCUCCCUGAGGAUUGACUCUUUAUUUCUCUGAUUC
rfam:Physcomitrella patens subsp. patens PHYPAscaffold_324 genomic scaffold, whole genome shotgun sequence.